rnacentral:rRNA from 1 species
AUAAUGAAUUUAAAAUUAGUGUAAAAGUAAAAAAACUUUUAAAAAAAAAAAAGACGACAAGACCCUAAGACCUUCUUUUGGUUUGCUGGGGAAGUAAAUUUAAAGAUAAAAUUAGAUAGUUACAUAAAUUGACUUGAAUAAACUAUAGAAUAAAAAUAACUAGGUACCUUAGGGAUAACAGCACUAGCUUUUUUAGAGUUCUUAUUGACAGAAGUAAUAGUGACCUCGAUGUUGAAUUGAGGGCGCUUUUGGGAGCAGAAACUUAAAGAGCGGGUCUGUUCGACCCUUAAUUCCUCACGUGAUCUGAGUUCAGACCGGA